rnacentral:misc_RNA from 1 species
UUUGGAUAAAAACUUAGUUGAGUUUGAGUUGAGUUAGAACCACAGAGGGUAAAGCAGCUUAGCAAGGAAUUCUAUAACCAUAAGGGCAUUGCAAAAUAAUAAUAAUAUGAGGCUAGCCUCGUUUGCCAGGCGCAUUUCGAUGUUCCCAAUCCCAUAACUUGACUUCUUGUCAAAGUUUGAUUUGGGUUUGCAAUUUGCAUGAUGAGAAGAACAGCAAUUGAUGUGUAGAAUGGGAUUGCUCGACUGUAAACGAGCGAAACUUUCCCCUGGUCAUGGCUUUCUUGUGAGAGUAUGCAUUCUUUUAUUGAAUAUAUUUUGGAUGCCAG